rnacentral:tRNA from 1 species
AGGAUAAUAGUUUAAUAUAAAACAUUUAAUUUGCAUUUAAAAAAUAUUAAUUUUAUUUUAUCUUA